GAAGUAUUUCCCAGGCGCAGACAACGCGGCUUGUUUCUACUGGACGCCGGUUCACACAACUGCAAGAGCCGGGGAAACGACCCUCAGGAGCAACUAGAGCCAGUGACGGCGGGAGAAACGGAGACUUAGAAGACGGGAGACAGGAGAGAAACCCUGAGUGGAAUGAGACUGACAUCCGGAACCCUUGGGAACCGUCAGCCCACUUCGAGUGGUGACCAGUGUUAGCAUUGCUGCAGCCUCCACCCUGAGCACCCAGGAACAGAGAGAGCAUGAGCGGGA